AUGAAUUUAAUUAUCAUUUGUUUGGACUUCAUUUGUUACAGAGUAGAGACAGUUUAUUACAGAUGUUCGCAUUUCGGGUUAUUUAUUCUCUUCUGUCUCCUCUGCGCCCCCACCCCCAACCAGUUACUUUUCAAGAUUCAUCAAAGGCUUCGAGGUUCUUCCAUCAACCCACCAGGCCUCAAUUUUUCCUCAAUGCGGCUUUUUGAUGAGAAUGGCCAAGAAAUUAAGAAUCCACUUUUGCUGAAGAAUGAGCAAAAAAUUUGGGUCUCUUAUGGUAGAGCAUACAGAUCUCCACUAAACCUUGCUUUGGGUUUGACCUUUGACCGAGUGAGUGCAUUUGCCAGAGGUGACAUCAUGGUUGCAUAUAAGACCUUUUUGGAUCCUAAUGCUGUUCUGCUACCUGGAUGUGGCAAGUAAAUUAACAAGUAAUCUUGUUAAAGAUCUGGUUAAAGUAAUCCAAAUCACUUAAUUCAGGAUUUUUCAGAGUAAGAGAUUCGAAACACUAAAAGAUGCUUUUUCAGUUAUCUUAAACAAGAAUUGUUUCUUUUAUUGAUUUAUUUAAUGGUAUAAUGAGGUAGUGCCUAAAAGACUUGUUAACUUUCCCUAGUUUUAGAAAACCAUAUGGGGCCAUGAGCAAAGCAUAGUUUCUGCUUUGCAGAAACAGCAGUUUUGUUUGAAACGUAAAAGCUGUUUUUAGUGAUUAUUUCUAAAUUAAUCAUUUUAAAUGGAAUCAUUAAAAUAUAAAGUAUGUUCUGUGUAUGAGUGUUCACAUUUAAACUUCUUAUCUGAUGAUGGUACAUUUAAAACAAAAGCAACGUUCUGGGGACUUGUUGGGGCAGUGAAGAGUAGGAGUUAGAAGAUCUAAGGAGGCACUUUGCUUCAUCUCUGCUCAUGAUUGUCCAGGAGCUGGUUUCUUUUUUUUCUUUUUUUUUUUUUUUUUGCGGGGUGGGGAUGGAGUCUCGCUCUGUCGCCCAGACUGGAGUGCAGUGGCAUGCUCUCGGCUCACUGCAAGCUCAGCGUCCCGGGUUCACGCCAUUCUCCUGCCUCAGCCUCCCAAGUAGCUGGGACUACAGGCGCCCGCCACCACGCCCGGCUAAUUUUUUGUAUUUUUUUAGUAGAGAUGGGGUUUCACUGUGUUAGCCAGGAUGGUCUCGAUCUCCUGACCUCGUGAUCCACCCGCCUCUGCCUCCCAAAGUGCUGGGAUUCCAGGCGUGAGCCACCACGCCCGGCCUGGUGUUGGUUUCUUAUCUGCGAAUAAUACAAACUGGCUUUUACUGAGUGUUGACCGUAGGCCAGGCACAGUUACAAAUUAAUUGGGUAAGGACUGAUUUAAUUCUCAUAAUUAUCUUACUCCUAUUAUUCCGUAUUACUCUACUCUUACUCCAUUUCUCAGAGACAGAAACCAAGGCACAAAGAGAGAAGUAAUUUGUCCAAAGUCACACAGCUGGUACAUGGUAGAGUCAGGAUUCUAACCCAGAUCAUUUGUCUUAAGUACCUGAGUGCUUAGCCACUAUUUGGUGCCAUCCGAUAAAACUUUCUGUGAUGACGGACACACACUUUGUGACUACUGAGCAUUUGAAAUGUGACUAGUGUGAAUGCAAAACUGCAUUUUAAAUUUUGUUCAAGUAAAUUAAUUUAAAUUUAAAUAGGAAUAGGUAGCUAGUGACUACCAUAUUGGACACCGCAGCAGAUCCUGAUACUAUUUUGGAUUAAGUAAUCUAUCUAUAAGGUCCCAUCUAGCUUUAACAAUCUUAUAAUUUAACAAAUUAUAGCUCUUUUUAAUAAACAGUUGAAAAUGCUGAAGUAGAAGGCAUAUACAGAGAACCAAAAGCAGUCUGAUGAGAUCACUGAGUCCAGCCAGUGACAACCUAUUGCUAAAUAUGUCUAGAGGGACAUACUCAUUGGUAGUUGUUUAAGUAACAGCUUUCUUCCCCAAUGACUGCUGGUGCUUUCCAGGCAAGAUUUGAGGUAUAAAUUAUUAGUAAUAGUGUAUACGUAAAGAGAAAAGAGUAUAAAGA
ensembl:lncRNA